rnacentral:rRNA from 1 species
UACGAAGGGGGCUAGCGUUGUUCGGAAUUACUGGGCGUAAAGCGCGCGCAGGCGGUUCUUCAAGUCAGAGGUGAAAGCCCAGAGCUCAACUCUGGAAUGGCCUUUGAGACUAGAGAACUAGGGUACGGGAGAGGUGAGUGGAAUUCCGAGUGUAGAGGUGAAAUUCGUAGAUAUUCGGAAGAACACCAGUGGCGAAGGCGACUUACUGGACACAUAUUGACGCUGAGGUGCGAAAGCGUGGGGAGCAAACAGGG